rnacentral:rRNA from 1 species
GGGGGGAUUUAAUCGGCGAUACGGCUCGAUAAACACGUGAGUAACCUACCCUGGACUCUGGGAUAACCCCGAGAAAUCGGAGCUAAUACCGGAUAGGACCUCGAAUCGCAUGGUUUGGGGUGGAAGGUUUUUCGGUCUGGGAUGGACUCGCGGCCUAUCAGCUUGUUGGUGAGGUAAUGGCUCACCAAGGCGUCGACGGGUAGCCGGCCUGAGAGGGUGACCGGCCACACUGGGACUGAGACACGGCCCAGACUCCUACGGGAGGCAGCAGUGGGGAAUAUUGCACAAUGGGCGCAAGCCUGAUGCAGCAACGCCGCGUGAGGGAUGACGGCCUUCGGGUUGUAAACCUCUUUUAGUAGGGAAGAAGGGCUUCGGCUUGACGGUACCUGCAGAAAAAGGACCGGCUAACUACGUGCCAGCAGCCGCGGUAAUACGUAGGGUCCGAGCGUUGUCCGGAAUUAUUGGGCGUAAAGAGCUCGUAGGCGGUUUGUCGCGUCUGCUGUGAAAUCCCGAGGCUCAACCUCGGGCCUGCAGUGGGUACGGGCAGACUUGAGUGCGGUAGGGGAGAAUGGAAUUCCUGGUGUAGCGGUGGAAUGCGCAGAUAUCAGGAGGAACACCGAUGGCGAAGGCAGUUUCUCUGGGCCGUAACUGACGCUGAGGAGCGAAAGCGUGGGGAGCGAACAGGAUUAGAUACCCUGGUAGUCCACGCCGUUAACGUUGGGCGCUAGAUGUGGGGACCUUUCCACGGUUUCCGUGUCGUAGCUAACGCAUUAAGCGC